rnacentral:rRNA from 1 species
UACGAAGGGGGGCUAGCGUUGCUCGGAAUCACUGGGCGUAAAGGGUGCGUAGGUGGGCGAGAAAGUCAGUGGUGAAAUCUCCGGGCUUAACCCGGAAACUGCCAUUGAUACUAUUUGUCUUGAAUACUUUGGAGGUAAGCGGAAUAUGUCAUGUAGCGGUGAAAUGCUUAGAUAUGACAUAGAACACCAAUUGCGCAGGCAGCUCACUACUCAAUCAUUGACUCUGAGGCACGAAAGCGUGGGGAUCAA